rnacentral:rRNA from 1 species
GACGAACGCUGGCGGCGUGCUUAACACAUGCAAGUCGAACGGAAAGGCCCUGCUUUUGUGGGGUGCUCGAGUGGCGAACGGGUGAGUAACACGUGAGUAACCUGCCCUUGACUUUGGGAUAACUUCAGGAAACUGGGGCUAAUACCGGAUAGGAGCUCCUGCUGCAUGGUGGGGGUUGGAAAGUUUCGGCGGUUGGGGAUGGACUCGCGGCUUAUCAGCUUGUUGGUGGGGUAGUGGCUUACCAAGGCUUUGACGGGUAGCCGGCCUGAGAGGGUGACCGGCCACAUUGGGACUGAGAUACGGCCCAGACUCCUACGGGAGGCAGCAGUGGGGAAUAGUGCGCAAUGGGCGGAAGCCUGAUGCAGCAACGCCGCGUGCGGGAUGACGGCCUUCGGGUUGUAAACCGCUUUCGCCUGUGACGAAGCGUGAGUGACGGUAAUGGGUAAAGAAGCACCGGCUAACUACGUG